rnacentral:rRNA from 1 species
GAGGUGUUGGGUUAAGUCCCGCAACGAGCGCAACCCUUACUGCCAGUUGCUAACAGGUAAAGCUGAGGACUCUGGCGGAACUGCCGGUGACAAACCGGAGGAAGGUGGGGAUGACGUCAAGUCAUCAUGGCCCUUAUGUCCAGGGCUACACACGUGCUACAAUGGCAGGUACAACGUGACGCGAAACCGCGAGGUAAGAGCGAAGCACGAAAAGCCGGUCGUAGUUCGGAUUGAAGUCUGAAACCCGACUUCAUGAAGUUGGAAUCGCUAGUAAUCGCACAUCAGCAUGGUGCGGUGAAUACGUUCCCGGGCCUUGUACACACCGCCCGUCACACCAUCCGAGUUGGAGGUACCCGAAGCCGGUAGCUUAACCGUAAGGAGAGCGCUGUCGAAGGUACGUUUAGUGAGGAGGGUGAAGUCGUAACAAGGUAGCCGUACUGGAAAGUGCGGCUGGAUCACCUCCUUUCU